UACGUAGGGUGCGAGCGUUGUCCGGAUUUAUUGGGCGUAAAGAGCUCGUAGGCGGUUUGUCGCGUCUUCCGUGAAAACUGGGGGCUUAACUUCCAGCUUGCGGUGGAUACGGGCUGACUGGAGUGCGGCAGGGGAGACUGGAAUUCCUGGUGUAGCGGUGAAAUGCGCAGAUAUCAGGAGGAACACCGGUGGCGAAGGCGGCGACCUGGACGGACAUUGACGCUGAGACGCGAAAGCGUGGGGAGCAAACAGG
rnacentral:rRNA from 1 species